UACGAAGGGGGCUAGCGUUGUUCGGAAUUACUGGGCGUAAAGCGUGCGCAGGCGGCCUUCCAAGUCAGGGGUGAAAGCCCAGAGCUCAACUCUGGAAUUGCCUUUGAGACUGUGAGGCUUGAGUACGGGAGAGGUGGGUGGAAUUCCCAGUGUAGAGGUGAAAUUCGUAGAUAUUGGGAAGAACACCGGUGGCGAAGGCGGCUCACUGGCCCGAAACUGACGCUCAUGCACGACAGCGUGGGGAUCAAACAGG
rnacentral:rRNA from 1 species